rnacentral:rRNA from 1 species
GACGAACGCUGGCGGCGUGCUUAACACAUGCAAGUCGAACGGAAAGGCCCUGCUUUUGUGGGUGCUCGGGUGGCGAACGGGUGAGUAAACCGGGAGUUACCCGGCCUUGGCUUUGGGAUAAACUCAGGAAACUGGGGGUAAUUCCGGGAAGGGGCUCCUGCUGCCUGGGUGGGGGUGGGAAGGUUCGGCGGUUGGGGGUGGACUCGCGGCUUAUCAGCUUGUUGGUGGGGUAGUGGCUUACCAAGGCUUUGACGGGUAGCCGGCCUGGGAGGGUGACCGGCCACAUUGGGACUGAGAUACGGCCCAGACUCCUACGGGAGGCAGCAGUGGGGAAUAUUGCACAAUGGGCGGAAGCCUGAUGCAGCAACGCCGCGUGCGGGAUGACGGCCUUCGGGUUGUAAACCGCUUUCGCCUGUGACGAAGCGUGAGUGACGGUAAUGGGUAAAGAAGCACCGGCUAACUACGUG